rnacentral:ncRNA from 23 species
UUUAAUCUUCGGGGCAGGGUGUAAUUCCCGACCGACGGUGAUGGUGAAUAACCUCAGUCCGUGACCCGCGAUAUUUUCGCGGUUGACACAGUGAAAUUCUGUGACCGACAGUUAAAGUCUGGAUGGGAGAAGAUUUGA